UUCCCCGGCAACGGCGCC
rnacentral:snRNA from 1 species